rnacentral:rRNA from 1 species
GCCUACGGGAGGCAGCAGUAGGGAAUCUUCCGCAAUGGGCGAAAGCCUGACGGAGCAACGCCGCGUGAGUGAUGAAGGUCUUCGGAUCGUAAAACUCUGUUAUUAGGGAAGAACAAACGUGUAAGUAACUAUGCACGUCUUGACGGUACCUAAUCAGAAAGCCACGGCUAACUACGUGCCAGCAGCCGCGGUC